rnacentral:rRNA from 1 species
GUCUAUGGCCAUAUCACCCUGACUACGUCCAAUCUUGUCUGAUCUCUGAAGCUAAGCAGGGCUGGGCCUGGCUAAUACUUGGGUGGGAGAAUCCAAAAGGCGCUGAGGUGUCAUUGGGA